CCCUUAGAUGUUCUGGGCCGCACGCGCGCUACACUGAUAAUGUCAACAAGCUUUACCUUGGCCGAUAGGUCUGGGCAAUCUUCGAACUAUUAUCGUGAUGGGGCUAGAUUAUUGCAACUAUUAAUCUUAAACGAGGAAUUCCUAGUAAGCGCGAGUCAUCAGCUCGCGUUGAUUACGUCCCUGCCCUUUGUACACACCGCCCGUCGCUCCUACCGAUUGGAUUGGCUGGUGAAGCGUUCGGAUUGUGGGUUCGGAGCGGUUCGCCGUUCUGGGCUUGCGAGAAGUUCGUUAAACCCCCCUAUCUAGAGGAAGGAGAAGUCGUAACA
rnacentral:rRNA from 1 species